rnacentral:tRNA from 1 species
GCCCGUCGAGCUCGGUUGGUCGAGCGUCCGGUUGAAGCCCGGAAGGUCGCUGGUUCGAAUCCAGCGGCGGGCA